GGUCCAAAUCUGUAGUAGAGUAGAUUGAUACGAUCAGUUGACCAUACUAAACUACUCUACUUCAAGUUUGUGCCU
rfam:Haemonchus placei strain MHpl1 genome assembly, scaffold: HPLM_scaffold0001305